GACGAACGCUGGCGGCGUGCUUAACACAUGCAAGUCGAGCGGAGCGGCGAACGGGUGAGUAACGCGUGAGUAACUGCCCCCCUCUCUGGGAUAACAGUUGGAAACGGCUGCUAAUACCGGAUAGUGGGGGAUGACUCGCGUCUAAUCAGCUUGUUGGUGGGGUAGUGGCCUACCAAGGCGAAGACGGGUAGCCGGCCUGGGAGGGCGACCGGCCACAAUGGGCUGCGAUAGGGAGCAAACUCGUACGGUAGGCAGCAGUGGGAAAUAUGGCAGAAUGGGGGAACCGCUGAUGAGGAAACGCGCGUGCGGAAAGCGGGCUUUCGAGUUGUAAACCGCGACGGGCCAUGCCGCGGUAUUGAAAGAGAAAGCCCCGGCUAACUACGUGCCAGCAGCCGCGGUAAUAC
rnacentral:rRNA from 1 species